GACGAACGCUGGCGGCGUGCUUAACACAUGCAAGUCGAACGGAAAGGCCCUGCUUGCAGGGUUCUCGAGUGGCGAACGGGUGAGUAACACGUGGGUGAUCUGCCCUGCACUUCGGGAUAAGCCUGGGAAACUGGGUCUAAUACCGGAGAGGAGCCAUUUUUAGUGUGAUGGUUGGAAAGUUUUUUCGGUGUUGGAUGAGCUCGCGGCCUAUCAGCUUGUUGGUGGGGUAAUGGCCUACCAAGGCGGCGACGGGUAGCCGGCCUGAGAGGGUGGACGGCCACAUUGGGACUGAGAUACGGCCCAGACUCCUACGGGAGGCAGCGGGGGGGAGUAUUGCACAAUGGGCGCAAGCCUGAGGCAGCGACGCCGCGUGGGGGAUAACGGCCUUCGGGUUGUAAACUCCUUUCGCUGGGGACGAAGCUUUUGUGACGGUACCUAGAGAAGAAGCACCGGCUAACUACGUG
rnacentral:rRNA from 1 species